rfam:Tupaia chinensis contig203364, whole genome shotgun sequence.
GUGCUCGCUCCGGCAGCACAAAUACUAAAAUUGGAGCGACACAGAGAAGAUUAGCAAGGCCCCGCGCAAGGGUGACACGCAAAUCCGUGAAGCGUCCAUAUUUUUU